AACGUAGGAGGCGAGCGUUAUCCGGAUUCACUGGGCGUAAAGCGCAGGUAGGUGGUUCGUUAAGUUGGUUGUGAAAGCCCCUGGCUCAACUGGGGGAGGUCAGCCAAAACUGGCGGACUGGAGGUUCCGAGAGGAGAGCGGAAUUCCCGGUGUAGCGGUGGAAUGCGUAGAGAUCGGGAGGAACACCAGUGGCGAAAGCGGCUCUCUGGCGGAAAACUGACACUGAACUGCGAAAGCGUGGGUAGCAAACGGG
rnacentral:rRNA from 1 species